rnacentral:rRNA from 1 species
UACAGAGGGGGCAAGCGUUGUUCGGAAUUACUGGGCGUAAAGGGCGCGCAGGCGGCUCAUUUUGUCAGGCGUGAAAGCCCCGGGCUUAACCUGGGAACUGCGUUUGAUACGGAUGGGCUAGAGUUCGGGAGAGGAGAGUGGAAUUCCCAGUGUAGAGGUGAAAUUCGUAGAUAUUGGGAAGAACACCGGUGGCGAAGGCGGCUCUCUGGACCGAUACUGACGCUGAGGCGCGAAAGCCAGGGGAGCGAACGGG